rnacentral:rRNA from 1 species
CCUACGGGAGGCAGCAGUGAGGAAUAUUGGUCAAUGGACGAGAGUCUGAACCAGCCAAGUAGCGUGAAGGAUGACUGCCCUAUGGGUUGUAAACUUCUUUUAUAUGGGAAUAAAACAGGGCAUGCAUACCCUCUUGUAUGUACUUUAUGAAUAAGGAUCGGCUAACUCCGUGCCAGCAGCCGCGGUAAUACGGAGGAUCCGAGCGUUAUCCGGAUUUAUUGGGUUUAAAGGGAGCGUAGGUGGAUUGUUAAGUCAGUUGUUAAAGUUUGCGGCUCAACCGUAAAAUUGCAGUUGAAACUGGCAGUCUUGAGUACAGUAGAGGUAGGCGGAAUUCGUGGUGUAGCGGUGAAAUGCUUAGAUAUCACGAAGAACUCCGAUUGCGAAGGCAGCUUACUGGACUGGAACUGACACUGAGGCACGAAAGUGUGGGUAUCAAACUGGAUUAGAUACCCUUGUAGUC